AACGAACGUUAGCGGCGCGCCUAACACAUGCGAGUCGAACGCGACAGGGGCAACUCUGUUGAGUGGCGCACGGGUGAGUAACACGUAGGUAAUCUCCCCUCGAGUGGUGGAUAACUUUCCGAAAGGAGAGCUAAUACAGCAUGAGACCACGGCUUCGAAAGGAGCUGAGGUCAAAGCGGAGGAUCGCAAGACUUCGCGCUUGAGGCUGAGCCUGCGGCCCAUCAGGUAGUUGGCGGGGUAAUGGCCCACCAAGCCUUAGACGGGUAGCUGGUCUGAGAGGAUGAUCAGCCACACUGGAACUGAGACACGGUCCAGACUCCUACGGGAGGCAGCAGUGGGGAGUCUUGCGCAAUGGACGAAAGUCUGACGCAGCGACGCCGCGUGGGUGAUGAAGGCCUUCGGGUUGUAAAGCCCUGUGGGGAGGGACGAAUAAGUUGCGGUUAAUACCCGCAGCGAUGACGGUACCUCCUUAGCAAGCACCGGCUAACUCUGUGCCAGCCGCCGCAGUAACAC
rnacentral:rRNA from 1 species